GAAACUCUUUCUCCAAUAACAUACCAAAAUAAGCUCCAAUAUCAGACUCAGGCACAUCUAUGGAGUGCAAUCUUGAACUGUCUAUUGCAGAAGCCACAACACCAACAGUGCAUUCAGAUGUUUAAAAUAUUACCAUACUUAAAUAUACAGAGGCCAGAAAAUUCCAUGUUAAGCCACAAUGUGGAACUAGAAAACCUAUGAUGCAUGCAAGGUUGAAAAAAUGAUAGUCAAAAUCUACGGAAUAUUGGUGGAAAUAUCUAUAUAAAUCAUGAGAAUCAUGGAAAUUUUGAAGUAAAACUUUCAGGAAACGUGGAACUAUUCAAUAAUGCACCUAUUAAAUAUGGUAUUUAAUAGGUGCAUUAUUGAUGGAGGAGAUAUCAAACUUGUUGAGGCCGCUGGAGGAGGUGAGAUUAUUUCCAUACAAAGAAGAUGCAAGAAGAUGGUCCUUAGAGCCUUCAGGGAAAUUUUCUUGUAAAUCCUACUUAAAUCGAUUGAGAAACAUACCAGGUAGUCCACCGUUUCUCCCUUAAAGUCUGAUUUGGAAAUCCAAGGUUCCUCCCAAGAUUAAGGUUUUGGCUUAGUUGGUGGUACAAGGGAUAUUAGCUUUUGGUAGGAAUAGGAAGUCCGAAACAAGUGAAAGAGACAGAGACAGAGAGAGAAAUCCGCUUUAAAUUCCAACAAAAUUCACCAAACUCUAUUACUCUAUGUAUGUCUUUCAAAGUCGAUGACAUUUUGAAUACAUGGCGUCUUUAAUAAUUUGGUUUGAAUAUGCC
rnacentral:lncRNA from 1 species